CAUUUCUGUGACUCGUCCAAUGGAGUUUUUUUAAACCGUGUGCGCUGCAAGAACAGACCGACAGCUGAAGCAGUUCGUUAAAAACGGGGAACGGCGGCGUCUGAUCAUUCAUAAGGACAAGAGAGAGAGAAAUCCAGAAGACAAAUCUGAACAGGAAGCGGAAUUAAAGCAGUGCUCAUCCGAAUGGACUAAAAGUACGCAUGGAUAUCGCUUUCUCUCUUCAGCGCCUUUGUGUUCACUGAUAUCACUGUAUACUCCGCUAAUAACACAGUGUCGGCAAUACUCAAAGUUGUAACAGAGAGUGCGUUUUUUCCCAUACUGCGUCCCUUUUACCAAUGAACCCAACGCACUUGGAGACGGGUGGCAGUCUAAGCAUGGGAUUACUUCUGUGAUGUGGAUUGUAAUAGCCUUGGAAGAAAAAAUUGAUUUACUUCUCAACAAUGUGAGAGGACCCGCGUCCUGGAUUCUCAUAUUCCUGGAUAUUCUGAAAAUCAUCGGCAACAGCUGAGAGACGCUGUAAUAUACUAGCUGUGGAUCUCAGUCUCGCUCUCUCAGGUGUCUGCAUGCGUGUUUUGGGACCAACAUGGGAUUCUUGUUGCCCCUAUAGGUCGGACCCCGUGUGAAGAAGCCGCUACUCAUGUCUAACUUGCUUUCUGAGACCUUUACCAAUGUUUUUGCUAAAGUCCGCCUAUCAUCGGAUAGGGUUUUAAAAAGAUUUAUUCGCCUUUUAAAUUCAAUCAUGAACUUUGCUGUUCGCGUGCUCCAGUUAUUUAUUGUGACGCUUCUGUAUUUUUCAGCUGUCAAGAGUGCCUACAUACCCAGAGAGGGAGGCAGAAGCACAUAUGACGUGGUGCCAUUCAUGGAGGUGUAUAACAAGUCUCUCUGCCGUCCUCGGGAAAUGUUGGUGGAAAUUCAGCAGGAGUACCCUGAUGACACAGAGCAUAUCUUCAUACCAUCCUGUGUGGUUCUCACCCGCUGUGCUGGGUGCUGCAAUGAUGAAAUGAUGGAAUGCACCCCCACCGUCACAUACAACAUUACCUUGGAGAUUAAGAGAUUGAAACCUCUUCGUCAUCAGGGUGACAUUUUCAUGAGUUUUGCCGAACACAGUGAAUGCCAGUGUCGGAUGAAAAAAGAUCUUCCAAAGGAAAUAGAAAAAAAACCCCGGAAGGGCAAAGGCCAAAAGCGAAAGGGAAAGAAAAACCGUGAAAAAAAGCGGGAUUUGUAUGUCACCUCUGCGUUCGCCUCCUCUCACCUGCACCUGAGUGUGGCACUCUUGGUUGUCAAAUUAAUUUGGGAGGAGAUUUUAUGCCUCCUUUAAUCAGCGCAUUUUUUUUGUCAGAUGUUUUAAUUGCCAUUAAUCCAUCAGUUCUUGCGCCACUUAAUUAAAACUUACCAUCCCAUUGAUCUCUGAUCUCACAGAGCUUGAUUCGCUAUUGCUGAAGCACAUGCUAAAACCAUUAACAGUAACACUUUUUGCCUAAAUGGUUUUUUUUUGGUGGGCACAAACCAAUAGAGUGCAACAGUGACUGUCCACUUUGUUAGUCUGUAUUAUUUUCUCAUUCAUUUUCUGUUUGUGGUAAGGAGUUCAAUGAGUUCCAAGAUGAAUCAUAAGACCUACAACUCGAAUACGUUCGCAAAAAAGAAGUCUUUUAAAGACUUAAAUAUUUAUCCCAUGCAGUGUUGUGAGUGAUGUUCUCCAAACAAGAGGCAAAAGUCGGACAAGUUGGUAAUUACAGAACGUGUAUAAAAAGAUAGAUGCACACGGCACAUCUUGACAAGAUGUUUAUUGCAAAAUAAUAAACUAGUAUGGAAACUACGCAGUGGUUUAUAGGAAUACGCAAUCAGUGGCCAAUGAAACAACCUUGUAAAUGUGUAUUGUUCCCAUUUCCAAGGCUGGUUCCCAGGUUCUUUCUUCGUAGUACCUUGUUUAAGCAAGCGCAGCACUUCAUGGGAAUUUAGAAAUGAAAAAAGUGAAAGCACCAACUACAAAAGCAUCAUCACUUAACUUCACCUGAACCCACGGCGUACUGUAGGUCUGUCUGCAUGUCACUGGAGAAAAUUAAUGGGUUUUCUAUUUUUGGAGCCGUACAGUUGCACUCUAUAUGUUGUGUCACAGGGCCCAAUAAAUCAAGCUCUAAGAUGGGAGGAGGUGGGCAGUGGGAAUCUAGUCAUCAUAAAGACUCACACAACCCACACAGCAUGGCUUUUAUUUGAUGGUACUAAUCACAGUAUUUGUGUUGGAAUCACAACCUCGUUUGUGCUGGUUUUGUUUUUGGAAUGUCGUUUGUUCUGAUAAUUCUUUUAUUGUGUUAGGAUUCACCAUCGUCCUCACAUUGGUUCUGUUCUCUGACAUAUGAGAGGGUCUGUGUGAGGUUUUAAUCAUUUUGUUUUGUUCAUUGCUUUGAGUUUGGUCUUGUCAUGCUGAGUGAGUUCUGCCACACAGCAUUACGAAAGUCAAACAGCCUGUUCACUUUGGUGCUUCUCCCAGUAAUUGGGAAAUGAAAUGUGUUUCAAUGAGAAUGAAAAUGCGCACACGAGGACAGUCUGCUCCUGUGAGACUGAUGCUUUUGAGGUCAGUAUUUUUCUGAGGGCUGGACUUGGGGUUUUAUUAAAUUAAGUGCUUCAAAGUACCACCACAAUUAUUCACACAACAUAUUUGACAUUGCUUGAAAUGAUUUAGGUUUCAAAUUUGGGUGUAAAAUCAAAGUCAGAGCGGUCACUGAUUUCUAAGAAUAUUGGACUUAAGACAUUUCAAAAUUUCAACAUAAUCCUUCUCUCAAUAUUCCUGCCAUUUCUCCUGUAAAUAAAAUGUGUUAAAACAAUAUUUGCUUGAUUUUGUUCAGAAUUUUUUCUAAAGCACAAAAAUUGGUCAAAUAAAUUUGUGUGCAUGUUUUUUUUAUGUAAAACAUUCAUACUUGUAAUAUAAAGCCAGGGUUAGAUUUAGAAUUUAGUCUGAGCCUAGUGCCUCAGAGCAAUAUUGACUUCAGAUAAGGUCAUUUGGCACAAAUAUGUGUGAAUCUUCCUCAUGGAGUCCAGUAGUUUGUACUGUACAUAUGUCCUGAUGACCCUGAUCCAACUCGACAAGACGCAAUAAACAGAACCUCUGGAUUCUCACUCACUGCGCUCUCUCUGGCUUUUAUUCCUAUAUGCUUUUCUAAAAUGAAACCAUUUAUUAUUGUUUUCAUUAUUUUCUUGCAUCAACUGAGCUUGCAGGUGCAUGGCCCCAUCCUGCCUAACUUCAGCUAUUCACACUCUACAACCCCCUUUGGACCCUCAGAAGGGGCAAAACCGUGGUUCCAGACCAGGGUGGCUCAAAAAUUAGUCAGUGUGAGCCUUGCUGUUCUACUUGUUCUGAAAGAAGAAGAAGGUUGUUUGUUCAAGACCCAGAGACAUGUCAGUGCUCCUGC